rnacentral:rRNA from 1 species
UUUCUGUAGGGGUGACCUGCGGAAGGAUCAUUAGAGAACCUGGGCCUGCGCUACUUGCGCGGCUCCAACCAAUACACAGUGUGUUAUACUUCUCUUGCUUUGGCUCUGCCAAAGGUUUUAAACACAGAAAUUUAUUUUCUCUAGAAACUAGUCAAUUUGAAAUUUUAAUCUUCAAAACUUUCAACAACGGAUCUCUUGGUUCUCGCAACGAUGAAGAACGCAGCGAAAUGCGAUACGUAAUGUGAAUUGCAGGUUUUCGUGAAUCAUCGAAUCUUUGAACGCAUAUUGCGCUCUCUGGCAUUCCAGAGAGCAUGCCUGUUUGAGCGUCAUUUCUCUCUCAAGAUCCUCUAGGGGACUUGGUAUUGAGUGAUACUCUGUGUUAACUUGAAAUACUCUAGGCAGAGCUCCCCCCUAGAAACCCUCUGGGCCGAAAUAAUGUAUUAGGUUCUACCAACUCGUUAUUUUCCAGACCGACUUCCAGGCAGAGCUCGGCUUAACAACCUUUCUAAGCUUGACCUCAAAUCAGGUAGGACUACCCGCUGAACUUAAGCAUAUCAAUAAGGCGGAGGAA